AGUCCAUUCGACGUAUGUGUUCCUACUAUCUCGUGUGGUUACUUUGGCAAUUGACGAGAACGUGGUGGAAGCCUUGAAUCAAUUAUGGACAAAUGACAUGCCAUCUAAAAGAAGAGGAAGAUAUUGACCAUGUGUUUUUCAACUGUUCUUUUUCGCAACAAAUUUGGAAGGGAAUUUUCGUCUGGCUGAAUGUGGAUUUUAUCCCCUAUGAAGUUUGUUGGCAGCACUUUAUAUCCUUUGGUGCUUUGGUGAAGAAUAAGUCUUAUGCAAAAGCUCGACAUGUAAUUUGGUUGGCAACCACAUGGAGCUUGUGGCGAGCCCGUAAUAAUAUAAUGUUUAGAGGAGAUGUCAUUAACUUGCAAUCCUUAAUGAAUCAAAUUAUUUAUAUCUCCUGGUUUUGGUUUGUUGGUAGAAUAGCUUCUAAGUCUUCUCUUGUAUUUUCAGAUUGGUGUAAAGAUCCAUUAUCUUGCAUUUUUAGCAUCUAAUGGCUUCUUUUAGAAUUGUAAGGGUUGGGUACCCCUUGUACUCCUUAUAAUUCAUUCUUUGCUUAU